rnacentral:rRNA from 1 species
GACGGGGGGGGCAAGUGUUCUUCGGAAUGACUGGGCGUAAGGGCACGUUAGGCGGUGAAUCGGGUUGAAAAGUGAAAGUCGCCAAAAAGUGGCGGAAUGCUCUCGAAACCAAUUCACUUGAGUGAGACAGAGGAGAGUGGAAUUUCGUGUGUAGGGGUGAAAUCCGUAGAUCUACGAAGGAACGCCAAAAGCGAAGGCAGCUCUCUGGGUCCCUACCGACGCUGGGGUGCGAAAGCAUGGGGAGCGAACAGG